rnacentral:rRNA from 1 species
AGUUGGUGGAGUGAUUUGUCUGGUUAAUUCCGUUAACGAACGAGACCUCAGCCUGCUAACUAGUGGUGUUUAUCCUUUGUUCGCCGCUCGUUCUUUUUGCAGUCGGUGACGUUCCCUCCGGGUUCGAUUGCCGCUCAUUUAGUUUCGGGUUGAACAUUUCGGGAUAGGAGAGAGCUACGACGCCUGCGGCCUCUAUGAGGUUUGCUUGUGUUGUGCUCCAUUCGACUUCUUAGAGGGACUAUCCGUUUAUUAGCGGAUGGAAGUUUGAGGCAAUAACAGGU